UACGUAGGGGGCAAGCGUUGUCCGGAAUCAUUGGGCGUAAAGAGCGUGUAGGCGGUUUGUCGCGUCUGCUGUGAAAACUCAGGGCUUAACCCUGAGCCUGCAGUGGGUACGGGCAGACUAGAGUGUGGUAGGGGAGAUCGGAAUUCCUGGUGUAGCGGUGGAAUGCGCAGAUAUCAGGAGGAACACCGGUGGCGAAGGCGGAUCUCUGGGCCAUAACUGACGCUGAGGAGCGAAAGCAUGGGGAGCGAACAGG
rnacentral:rRNA from 1 species